CGGGUUUAAAGAAAAUCGAUUUUUCGCAUUUUCAAAGUGCUAUAAUUCCCUUAGUUUUUCUCGAAACUCAUUAUAACCCGGUGUUUUCGUGUUGUAGGUGAUGGAAACAAGCCGCUGGUAUCGUUAGUUCAAAUUCGAAAAAAAUCAAUUUUUGGUGAAAAAUUCGAUACGGGGGGGUAUACCCUUAAAAUGAAAAAUCCCAAACUUUGGAGGUCCAUAUCUCGGCUUCUAUGGGCUUUAUCGGGAAAAUUCCAACGGUUUUGACUUAGUUUCGUCCUCCUGAAUCCAACGAGACCAUCCGCAAGGUCGUAGCUCCCAUAUUAGCUGAGAUCUCGCAUUUUUGUGGCCCAUUUUUGGGCUCAAAAACGGGGUCGAAAAUUGACUUUUUUCCG